AUACUGGGCCUUCUAGGUCUGGUAAUUGGAAUGAGUACAAUUUAAAUCCCUUAACGAGGAUCCAUUGGAGGACAAGUCUGGUGCCAGCACCCGCGGUAAUUCCAGCUCCAAUAGCGUAUAUUAAAAUUGUUGCCGUUAAAAAGCUCGUAGUUGAACUUCUGGCUUGGCGCGCGCGGCCCGGUUCGUUAUCGGACUGUGUGCCGUUGUGCGCCUGCCAUCCUUCUGGAGCACGACUGUGCCCUUCACUGGGUUGCAGCCGCGCAUCAGAUCUUUUACUUUGAAAAAAUUAGAGUGUUUAAAGCAGGCUUGCGCUAUGAAUACAUUAGCAUGGAAUAAUAAUUUAGGACUUCUGUUCUAUUUUGUUGGUUUCUAGGAUGGAAGUAAUGAUUGAUAGGGAUAGUUGGGGGUGCUAGUAUUCAGCGGCCAGAGGUGAAAUUCUUGGAUUCGCUGAAGACUAACUUAUGCGAAAGCAUUCACCAAGGAUGUCUUCUUUAAUCAAGAACGAAAGUUGGGGGAUCGAAGACGAUCAGAUACCGUCGUAGUCUCAACCAUAAACUAUGCCGACUAGGGAUGGGCGAAUGUUAUUCAACUGACUUCGUCCGCACCUUAUGAGAAAUCAAAGUCUUUGGGUUCCGGGGGGAGUAUGGUCGCAAGGCUGAAACUUAAAGGAAUUGACGGAAGGGCACCACCAGGAGUGGAGCCUGCGGCUUAAUUUGACCCAACACGGGAAAACUUACCAGGUCCAGACGUGGGAAGGAUUGACAGAUUGAAGAUCUUUCUUGAUUCUACGGGUGGUGGUGCAUGGCCGUUCUUAGUUGGUGGAGUGAUUUGUCUGGUUAAUUCCGUUAACGAACGAGACCUCGACCUGCUAAAUAGUAUGACGAAUCCCAGAUUCGGACGUGCUUCUUAGAGGGACUAUCGGUGUGUAGCCGAUGGAAGUUCGAGGCAAUAACAGGUCUGUGAUGCCCUUAGAUGUUCUGGGCCGCACGCGCGCUACACUGAUACGUUCAUCGAGCUUACAACCUUGACUGAGAGGUCUGGGUAAUCUUUUAAAUCGUAUCGUGCUGGGGAUAGAUUAUUGUAAUUUUUAAUCUUCAACGAGGAAUUCCUAGUAAACGCGGGUCAUCAGCUCGCAUUGAUUACGUCCCUGCCCUUUGUACACACCGCCCGUCGCUACUACCGAUUGAAUGGCUUAGUGAGCUUCAGGGAUUGAUGUGCUUGGUGGGCGACCAUCUUGCAUUUCGAGAACUGAAUCAAACUU
rnacentral:rRNA from 1 species